rnacentral:rRNA from 1 species
UGAGUAGGCGGCUGUUUAAGUCACAUGUGAAAUUCCGGGGCUCAACCCCGGAACUGCAUGAGAAACUGGAUGGCUUGAGUGCAGGAGAGGUAAGCGGAAUUCCUAGUGUAGCGGUGAAAUGCGUAGAUAUUAGGAAGAACACCAGUGGCGAAGGCGGCUUACUGGACUGUAACUGACGCUGAGACACGAAAGCGUGGGGAGCGAACAGGAUUAGAUACCCUGGUAGUCCACGCUGUAAACGAUGAAUGCUAGGUGUCGGGUAGAGAUAUUCGGUGCCGGAGUUAACACAAUAAGCAUUCCGCCUGGGGAGUACGUACGCAAGUAUGAA